rnacentral:miRNA from 1 species
CCUCACUCAAUCGGGUGGUGGUG